GGAGGAUUCGAGCGUUAUCCGGGAUUUAUUGGGGUUUAAAGGGUCCGUAGGCGGUUCUUUAAGUCAGUGGUGAAAUCCCAGAGCUCAACUCUGGGAACUGCCAUUGAAACUGAAGAACUUGAAUAUGGUUGAGGUAGGCGGAAUACGUUAUGUAGCGGUGAAAUGCAUAGAUAUAACGUAGAACACCAAUUGCGAAGGCAGCUUACUAAGCCAUUAUUGACGCUGAUGGACGAAAGCGUGGGGAGCGAACAGGAUUAGAUACCCUGGUAGUCCACGCCGUAAACGAUGAUUACUCGUUGUGCACAAUACAUCGUGCGUGACUGAGCGAAAGCAUUAAGUAAUCCACCUGGGGAGUACGUUCGCAAGAAUG
rnacentral:rRNA from 1 species